GACGAACGCUGGCGGCGUGCUUAACACAUGCAAGUCGAACGGAAAGGCCCUGCUUUUGUGGGGUGUUCGAGUGGCGAACGGGUGAGUAACACGUGAGUAACCUGCCCUUGACUUUGGGAUAACUUCAGGAAACUGGGGCUAAUACCGGAUAGGAGCUCCUGCUGCAUGGUGGGGGUUGGAAAGUUUCGGCGGUUGGGGAUGGACUCGCGGCUUAGCAGCUUGUUGGUGGGGUAGUGGCUUACCAAGGCUUUGACGGGUAGCCGGCCUGAGAGGGUGACCGGCCACAUUGGGACUGAGAUACGGCCCAGACUCCUACGGGAGGCAGCGGUGGGGAAUAUUGCACAAUGGGCGGAAGCCUGAUGCAGCAACGCCGCGUGCGGGAUGACGGCCUUCGGGUUGUAAACCGCUUUCGCCUGUGACGAAGCGUGAGUGACGGUAAUGGGUAAAGAAGCACCGGCUAACUACGUG
rnacentral:rRNA from 1 species